rnacentral:tRNA from 1 species
GACAAUGUGUCCGAGUGGUUAAGGAGACUGACUUGAAAUCAGUUGGGUUUAUCCCGCGCAAGUUCAAAUCUUGUCAUUGUCG